CCAUCACCCCCCAGCAAAAACAGUUUCCAUGGGUGGUGCCAUCAGUGCUCUGAGGUCCCUUGUCCCUGCAUAAAGUGUGCAGCACACUGAGGGGUGGCCAGAGGCAGCAGGGAGGAAGCAGUGCCCUUGUUCAUGCCCAGAGAGGCCUUGCUGGCAAGGCCAAAGGGAGAAGCAUCCGGGCUUUCCAUGCUGACAUGACAACUGGGCACAUUUAGUGGGUUUGCACAAAGGCAAAACCCUUUCCUUUUGCUGCAAAUCCCUAUCUCGUGGCCUCAGUCCUAAGGAUCAAACUGCCAUCCCAAACCCUGGCAGCUGACCAAAAUGCCUGUCUGGUGAAGCUACAGAGGAUGAGCCUGCACCAUCCCCGUCCUGUGCAGCACCCAGAGUCUGGUACCUGUGGGGAAACAGGGCUUGGUGGCACUGCACAGACAACGCAGCAGGGCAGCGCUGUUCUGGGGAGAAGAGGGGUCAGGCAGGCAGAGCCGGAGCACGGCUGCACUCAAUGCCAGCCCGCUGUUGUGCUCCUUCCCAGGACACGGCCGUGCCCUCGGCUGCCGCCCCGCUCCCGAGGCUGGAAUGCCGAAAUGCCCUGUGCGGGCUUGUCCGGGAAACAUUCGCUAUCUGUGCGGGAGGCUGCGAAUGCCCCUGGUGUGAGUGACUAGCUGGUGGUUCAAACGGAGCAGUUUCCAGUGAAUGCGGACCAGGACUAAUGUAAAACUGACUCCACAGCCCUUUGCUCACUCUCCAAGCUCCUCCUUCCUCAGCAAGCAAGUGGGUUUUUUUCUUUCAUAACAAAACUUGAAGCGAAGAUUUGCUUUUCAUUUCCUAAAGUGCAGAUCUUGUCCUUCUCCUUAAAUCACCUUCAGCUUGAUAAGCGUGAGCACUCCUUGCUGGUGUCUCUAAACAUCGCCUGGAGAGAAAACCUCUGCGGAAAGUGAAAUUCAGAAGAGCUAAUAAAACAUUUUCUGAAGAGUUUGAAUUUCUCAUUCCAAAGAAAACAAAAAGGUCGGCUGACCUUUCAACCUGACCCUUUUCUCUUUUUUUCUAAGGCAUUAAGAAAAACAUUCUGCAAACAAUGAGUGCUCGUGGUAAUUGUCCCUCCCCUGUGCCCCAGUUCUUGCCAAAAGCAACAUUUCAAUGGCUAUAGGGGGUGGAGGUUGAAAGCAAAUGAGUGAGCAAGCAAAUGCUGGCUUUCACACAUCAGUGGCUGGCUACGCCCUGACCACAUCCAAGGAGGUUCAAGGUGAGGGAGUCAAGCUCUCAGGCUGCUCCUCACUGAGUUUUACAGUUGCAGUGUCUGAAAUAUUGCGGUUCAAGUAUGGAAAUCUGUGUCGGAAGCAUUCAGAAAGUCCAGUCAAAAGGUAAGGUAAAGGGUCAUACAACCUUAAAGUGAAGUAUAAUUUAGAUCAACGUCUUUUCCAUCGGCUGUUGAAUUCCACCUUUGUGUCUCGUGCCACAUCUACUCAUUCUUCAGCCUGUCACAGUCCUUCUAGUGUUAGGGAGAGGCCUGUGUGAAAACAAUUUCAUGUUAGAAAAAAAAAAAGUGUUUUUUUUAUAUGAGAAAAGCCUUCUUAUACCAUUUAUCUCCAUUGUUUUCCAGCACUAGGACCUGCAGUGGAUCCUGCUGUGACAUGUUUCCAGCUGCAAAAGGAAUCAAAAGAUUUAGGGUUGAGUUCCCUCCUGAUUCUGGAACAUGUUCCACUGUGCAAUCUUUUGUAAUAUCUCUCUGCAAUAAAAGCACUAAUGCUCUCCAAGAGGCCUCCCCCUUUCACUUUCCUCAUAAGAGGUGAUGACAAGCUCCCAGCCCAAUUGUCUGCACACAUCCUUAACCGCAUGAGCCAGAGAUUUAGCUACCUAUCCUGGUUCUGACG